UGCAAGUCGAACGAGCGAGAGAGAGCUUGCUUUCUCGAGCGAGUGGCGAACGGGUGAGUAACGCGUGAGGAACCUGCCUCAAAGAGGGGGACAACAGUUGGAAACGACUGCUAAUACCGCAUAAGCCCACGGCUCGGCAUCGAGCAGAGGGAAAAGGAGCAAUCCGCUUUGAGAUGGCCUCGCGUCCGAUUAGCUAGUUGGUGAGGUAACGGCCCACCAAGGCAACGAUCGGUAGCCGGACUGAGAGGUUGAACGGCCACAUUGGGACUGAGACACGGCCCAGACUCCUACGGGAGGCAGCAGUGGGGAAUAUUGCACAAUGGGGGAAACCCUGAUGCAGCGACGCCGCGUGGAGGAAGAAGGUCUUCGGAUUGUAAACUCCUGUUGUUGGGGAAGAUAAUGACGGUACCCGACAAGGAAGUGACGGCUAACUACGUGCCAGCAGCCGCGGUAAAACGUAGGUCACAAGCGUUGUCCGGAAUUACUGGGUGUAAGGGGAGCGCAGGCGGGAAGACAAGUUGGAAGCGAAAUCUAUGGGCUCAACCCAUAAAUUGCUUUCAAAACUGUUUUUCUUGAGUAGUGCAGAGGUAGGCGGAAUUCCCGGUGUAGCGGUGGAAUGCGUAGAUAUCGGGAGGAACACCAGUGGCGAAGGCGGCCUACUGGGCACCAACUGACGCUGAGGCUCGAAAGUGUGGGUAGCAAACAGG
rnacentral:rRNA from 1 species